AUGAUCACUUGGAUGGGAAGCGAAAAAGGAAUCUACUCCACGAACUCUGCCUACAAUGCUCAGUUCAAAGACCUGCCUAACAAUGCAAUGAAGUCGACCAUCUGGAAAGUGUGGGCGCCAGGCAAAAUCAAAAUCUUCUCCUGGUUGAUUCACCACGAUAGAGUGUGGUGCAACGACCGGUUGCAACAACGACGAUGGCCAAAUCCAUAUUUCUGUCAGAUUUACCUAAAAAACCUAGAGUCCUCCGUGCAUCUCUUCUGGAACUGCCCGUUCUCGAAGGCGAUCUGGACAAAGGUGGCAGAAUGGAAAGGAUGCUCGUCCCUCGCCCCGCCGUCGCAAGAGCGGCGAUGCACUCCCUCGGCAGUUAGGGAAGUUUUAAAUGCAUCAACAGCAGAAAACAGGAAGGGAGUGAAGACUAUGAUCAUGGCUACCACCCGGGCAAUUUGGAUGGAAAGAAAUAGCUGA
rnacentral:rRNA from 1 species